UGUACUUAGAAAUGUGAGAGCGCUACCUGGGCCAUCAAGCUACACCUGGUACUGAAAUAAUCCAGGUAGCCAAGCAUGGUGUUUGUCCUUUUGUUGGCUAUGUCACAUUACUGGUUGAUGACACUUGAAAGACACCAUGUAUUUGAGACAACAGCAAAAUCAACAUGGUCCUUAAUACUUCUAAAAUGAUCUGUUGCCAACCAGCUGACAGUUGUUUGGCUGAAAUUCUUUGUCAACAUUAUUAAUUAACAAUGAGUUGAUGUCUGCUACUUGUUAUGAGUUCAUUUGAAGCCAU